UCUCUCGCGCAAACUAUUCAGUUUAGAAAAAAAUGAUAUUAGAAACCUCAAUAUCAUUUUUGAAGACCUAUUCAUAGAUACCCCACACGUAUGGGUUUGAUGAAAAAAAAUUUUUGAGCGAUUUAUGACGUAUAAAAAAAAAACUACUUACUAGAUCUCGUUCAAACCAAUUUUCGGUGGAAGUUUACAUGGUAAUGUACAUCAUAUAUUUUUUUUAGUUUUAUCAUUCUCUUAUUUUAGAAGUUACAGGGGGGGGGACACACAUUUUAGCACUUUGGAAGUGUCUCUCGCGCAAACUAUUCAAUUUAGAAAAAAAUGAUAUUAGAAACCUCAAUAUCAUUUUUGAAGACCUAUCCAUAGAUACCCCACACGUAUG